CCUACGGGAGACAGCAGUGAGGAAUAUUGGUCAAUGGGCGAGAGCCUGAACCAGCCAAGUCGCGUGAGGGAGUACUGCCCUAUGGGUUGUAAACCUCUUUUGUCGGGGAGCAAAAGCCGGACGUGUCCGGCUGUGAGAGUACCCGAAGAAAAAGCAUCGGCUAACUCCGUGCCAGCAGCCGCGGUAAUACGGAGGAUGCGAGCGUUAUCCGGAUUUAUUGGGGUUAAAGGGUGCGCAGGCGGAUUUUUAAGUCAGCGGUCAAAUCGUGGGGCUCAACCCCAUCCAGCCGUUGAAACUGGGGAUCUAGAGUGUGCGAGAGGUAUGCGGAAUGCGUGGUGUAGCGGUGAAAUGCAUAGAUAUCACGCAGAACCCCGAUUGCGAAGGCAGCAUACCGGUGCACAACUGACGCUCAGGCACGAAAGCGUGGGUAUCGAACAGGAUUAGAUACCCGGGUAGUC
rnacentral:rRNA from 1 species